rnacentral:rRNA from 1 species
UACGUAGGGCCCGAGCAUUAUCCGGAAUUAUUGGGCGUAAAGAAUGUGUAGGUGUUCCUACAAGUCGGUCGUUAAAUCCCACCGCCUAACGGUGGGGCCGCGAGCGAAACUGUAGGAAUUUGAGGUUUGCAGGGGCAAGCAGAAUUCUUGGAGUAGGGGUGAAAUCCGUUGAUACCAAGAGGAAUACCAAUGGCGAAGGCAGCUUGCUGGGCAAUACCUGACACUGAGACAUGAAAGCGUGGGGAGCAAACGGG